GCUGGGCAUAGUGGCCUAUGCCUGUAAUCCCAGCUACUUGGGAGGCUGAGGCAGGAGAAUUACUUGAAUCCAGUAGGUGGAGGUUUCGGUGAGCCAAGAUUGUGUCAUUGAGCUCCAGCCUGGGCAACAAGAGAGUAACUCAUCUCAAAAAAAAAAAAAAAAGUAGUCCCAUCUACAUGGGAGGCUGAGGUGAGAGGAUCGCUUGAGCUCAGGAAUUCUGGGCUGUAGUCUGCUAUGCUGAUCAGGUGUCUGCACUAAGUUCGGCAUCAAUAUGGUGACCUCCCUGGAGCGGGGGACCACCAGGCUGCCUAAGGAGGGGUGAACCGACCAAGGUCAGAAAUGGAGCAGGUCAAAUCUCCUGUGCUGAUCAGUAAUGGGAUCGCACCUGUUAAUAGCCACUGCACUCCAGCUAACCAGGGCAACAUAAUGAGACCCCAUCCCUA
ensembl:misc_RNA Metazoa_SRP Metazoan signal recognition particle RNA